AAGGUGUGCCGGGGUGAGAACGACCCCAGAUGUUCAUGCCGCGGCUGCCGUCCAAAUCAAUUAUUCCACUCUCAGCAUGAAUUCAAUUCUCCUGCACUCAUCAGAGGUGUGAAUAGGAAUCUGCUAGCGCUGUCUGUCCGGCUUACACACCUGCAGCGCCCCAGGGGAAGAGCGCGGCUCAGACCCCACACCCCUGACGCACUUAACUUCGAGGAAACGAGGAACAAUUAGACGUGAGGAACCUUUCAGAGAUCACAGAGUGUGGAGUUAUUACCCGGCCGUAACAAAACACUGUCGCUGCAGUUCCACCGCUCCAUCUAAACACCAACCAAACCUGUCAUCUCCAGGCAAUUAUCAACAAGUCAAAUUGGCAGGAAUUUAAUUUACAGUGCCACACUUAAAAUAAGGGAAUGAUGUUUAGUCUACAAUCCCAAUGAACGCCUUAGUGUUUUUGCACUCCGUAUCAAAUGAGCUUGAUGGUUAUACGGGAUUAAUUGUUGUUUUUGGAAUAACAGUAUCUGUAGCUACUGGUCUGUUUGUGUGUGUGCGUAUGCGCAUGCUAACUUUUUUUUUUUUUUUUGCGCACGCAUGUGUGAUCUGCAGCACCUGGGACAUCAGGCACACCAGGAACGGUCUCUUUCCCAGAGUGCCGCGCAGCAGUGCCCGCCUAGCUUUGGCACCUCAGCUGUCAGCCCGCUCUGCUGAUGAGGAGAAUGUGUGGGGCGAUGAAGUCGAUAAUGAAGGUCCUGAAUGGUUGAGAGCUAAAGAGGCCUGUGGCAAUAGGAUGCAUGAAUGAGAUUGGAUUGGAUGGUCAAAAACUGACCCGUUUCUCUGGGUGACUGACAACUAGCAUGUUACCAUCUGCAUUGCGUGUUUCUAAAAACACUCCAGUGACGCAAAAGGCAUCCUGCUGCAGUCAAAUCAACUGGCAUAACAGCUUUGUCAGACUUAGAGAUGUCAGCAACAGUGGUACAGAUAGUACAUCUAAAUAUUAGUGGUGCAAACUCCUUUUAAAGAAAAAAAUCAACCAAAGUGCUUUCUGAAGUGUCAUUUUUUCAGUGCUUUAUUUCGGUAUACCAGUGGUUAACGAUCUUCGGUGGAUGACUUUUAAUUGAACUUUCUUUCAAAGAAAUAUUUCAACUUAAUUUCGGUAAUGCACUCUGUGACUAAUACAAUGAUUGCAGACCAUGCUGGAACCAGACUUACUUUAAUGUCAAACCACCUCCUGUCAAGCACUUUCAAUGCAUUUUCACAUAGUAACUUGUUAUUAUAUUCAGGAGAGAAAGGAACUUGUUGCUAGGUGUUAGUCUAUUUUUUUGAAAAUGAAAAGGUGAAAAGAAAAUACAAAUUACUAACAAAGUGGCACAGUGACAACGUGUCUGUCUUUCUUUUUUCUUUCUCUUUACACUACUAGGUAUUCAUCUAUUACACAUAAAGAGGUUUCAUUCUGUUUCCUUAAAAUAACAAAAAGUUAUAAGAAAUAAAU
ensembl:lncRNA